rnacentral:snRNA from 1 species
UCCCAUUUUAAAAGUCAA